CUCACAGUCCGGCUCUGCUCGUGCCAAGCUCUAGCUCUUGGAUGUGCUAUCCUCCCUUCUCACUCUCGGGCUCCAGCAGCAAAUGGACGAAAAGCAUCACGAAGCAGCUCAGCUCCAUCUUCUAUAGUUAUUUCUUGAAUCUGUGAUAUACUAUAUAAUGCAUUCUGUAGAAAACAGAAUGAUGUUCAUUGGAGCCUCUCUCUUGCUAUGUUUCUUCCAUUUGUUUCUGCUCUAAGAAAACUCCAUACUUGGAAAAUGUCUCUUCAUGACUUCUUCGAAGUUUUUUCUGUAGUUUUCAGUCUUGGGUGCGUGCAGUUUCUUCAUGUCACAUCUGAAAUUUGGGGCCAUGUAUGUACAUUGUAAUUAGCAGGGCCUUCCCUGUUUGUGAUACUAAAUGAGGUACCUCUAUAUA